rnacentral:rRNA from 1 species
GUUGUUUCGGUCCUCCAACCCCUGUGACAUACCUAUAACGUUGCCUCGGCGGACCCCCGCUUCCCCGUAAAACGGGACGGCCCGCCAGAGGACCCAACAAACCCUGUUAUUCUUAGUAUCUUCUGAGUAAAAACACAAUCAAUUAAAACUUUCAACAACGGAUCUCUUGGUUCUGGCAUCGAUGAAGAACGCAGCGAAAUGCGAUAAGUAAUGUGAAUUGCAGAAUUCAGUGAAUCAUCGAAUCUUUGAACGCACAUUGCGCCCGCCAGUACUCUGGCGGGCAUGCCUGUUCGAGCGUCAUUACAUCCCUCAAGCCCCAGCGGCUUGGUGUUGGGCAUCGGCCGUCCUCAGCGGCGGCCGUGCCCCAAAUACAGUGGCGGUCUCGCCCCCGGCUCCUCUGCGUAGUAGUAACAUCUCGCACUGGGACGGAGCGUAGGCCACGCCGUAAAACAACCCAAUUUCUGAAUGUUGACCUCGGAUCAGGUAGGAAUACCCGCUGAACUUAAGCAUAUCAAUAAGCGGAGGAA